AGGGAGGGAGGGAGGAAGGGAGANUGAGAGGCAGGGGUUGGUCUGGAGGGUCUAUGGCCAUCUGGCCCCCCGCCCCCCGUCCUGCUAGGGCACCCACUCCCCACCUGUUGGGAGCCCUGCGGCUCCUGCCACCACCCCCGGAGCCUCCAGGUCUCCGAAGGCUCAGCUGCCUCCUUGUCCAAUUCCAUUUUCUUACUGGACAAAUGAGGGGCUGGCUCUGCUUCCCGUUCACCCCGACAGGCUGGCUGUCAGCUGCACUGGCAUCUGCUCUUGUCAGAAAAAUUAAGAAGGAGGUGAAAGCAGCCACAGCCCUCGAACUGCCGGCUGGAGAGAGGAUGUGGGCCUGGCUUCUCCAGGGAAGAUCCUCUCAGUGUCCCGUAAGAGACGCCUGAGGCGGCCCGGGCCAGAGUGGACACCAGUCUUCCGCCAGCGUUCUCUUCCCUUAAGACAGACGUGUGAACAGCGUGGCCUCCGGGGCCGCUUCCUGGGCUGAAUCCCAGGUCUGGGCUGACCAGCUGUGUAUUUGGGCAAGUUACUUGGCCUCUCUGUGCCUUUGUUUUCCCCUUUGUGAAAUGGAACAGUGAAAUGAAUGUAAAGCUCUUGGAGCAGAAUACACACGGCACUUGGUGAGAAGUUCGUGUUAGCGUGUUAGGGCUACGAUGGCUCUCGUGUGUCCUUGUCCCGGUGACCGCUCCUCUGAGGGGAGGGCGCUGCCCGGCUGUGGGGUGGGGGAGAGCUCCCCGUGGACUGGGCGGGUCGGAGAAGGCUUCACUCAUUCUACAAAACUUUACUGACCCCAGGCCCCCGGUCCCUGCCCUUGGGGACCCUCCUUGUCUGGUCGGGGGAGGCUGAUGUGUGAACAGAGGAUGAUUUAUAAGAGGCGAAGAGGAGGAAGCAGCUGACGGUGUGGGAGUGGUGGAGCCAGGAGGUCCGGGAAGGCUUCCCAGAGGAGCUGGCAUGAGCAGAAUGUGGAAGAGCUCCUGCGCUGAAUUCCCGGGUGGCAACUGACACACGCCUGGGCUGUCUUCACACCCAUGGGGUAGGUCUGCCUCAUUUGCAUCUCGUGACCUUGACAGUCCGGAGUGAGUCUGAGGACUCUCCACUCCUGCCCGGACAUCUGGAACCAGAGAACAGGUGGCGAACAGGGAACCCCACAAGGAGAUGCCGGCUCCCGCCUGCCCAGGGACGAAACCCAAGCUCCCAGCCCAGCACCGCAAGCCCCCGGCAGCUGAGUCAAUGUACCUGCCUACCCCACUCCCCCUCCCUGCCCCCAGCCCACCAGGCGAGGGGCCACCCGGCACCAUGUCCUUGGACACCGAUGCACUAUCAAGCCUCCAGUUGCUCCCUCUGCUGGGCCUCUUACCCCUCUGGGCUGGUGUCCCCUCCUCACCCAGCCUGGACAAGCUCCUAGCUCCCCUCUCUGAAAGCCUUCUCUGCCCUUCCCACGAGGAAUGGAUGGCUCUUCCCUCGGUGUCAGCUCCAGACCACCAUUGGAUCUUCUGCUGUGUAUCGUGACGGUCAGUGGGGGGUGUGUCCCCCCAAACUGUGGCCUCCUUUGAGGGCUAUCUCAGUGGUGCUCCUGGGUCAGCCUGGAACCUCAGGGCCAGACUCCAACCUCUGGGAGACUCACCCUGAGCAGAAUUCCAGCAUCUACCCAUACCCCUGUGCAUUGACUGUCCGAGACAGUGCUGUCUUCUCUUUCCUCCGUCCUGGCUGGCAGCUGGCCUCAGCUUCCAUGCUCCAGGGAGCUUUGUGGCUGGGCAGGAAGAGACAUCUGCAAGUCAUUUCUCUGUUGGGGUUUCGUUUGCCUGAAUUUGGAGCCUCUCCAGGGGAUUAAGGUGGGUGUCUUGGUAAGGCAGGGAGAGGAUAUGGAAGAAAGAGAGAGAGGAAUUCCUCCUGACUAGAGGCAGA